UACGGAGGGAGCUAGCGUUGUUCGGAAUUACUGGGCGUAAAGCGCACGUAGGCGGCUUUGUAAGUUAGAGGUGAAAGCCCGGAGCUCAACACCGGAACUGCCUUUAAGACUGCAUCGCUUGAAUCCAGGAGAGGUGAGUGGAAUUCCGAGUGUAGAGGUGAAAUUCGUAGAUAUUCGGAAGAACACCAGUGGCGAAGGCGGCUCACUGGACUGGUAUUGACGCUGAGGUGCGAAAGCGUGGGGAGCAAACAGG
rnacentral:rRNA from 1 species